rnacentral:other from 1 species
UGUAACCUGCUGUGCGCGUGAUCCGCACAAGGUUUUGAGCCAACACCCUAACGAAGGGGAUCGGAUUCCCGGGCAAACGCAUUAGGACUCGUUCUAAAGCGGGAAGUGCGGGCUAGAUCACCCACCUGCGAAAGCAGGUUCAAAACGUCGCGGCACACGGCACGGCGGGAGACAU